AAUUACAGGUAAACCUCAGUGUACAAUUUUGAAAGAAGUUUUGCUUCAUAAGUAAUAAUUUAGAAAGUAGGCAGUAGUUAUGUUUAGCUCUUAUUUCAUUUUAAAUAGUUUACUCUGGGCAUUAUUUUUUCUUAAAUCCUAAAUUCAUAAGAUUGUUAAAUGUUAAACACUGCAAAGUAUCCUUGUAAAAUAGGAAAACAGGAAAUGGGAUGUUUGCUUAGGCCAUGACCUACUACAAGCAGGUUUUUAUUCUUUUAGUUUAGAAGACAAACUAUUGCAAUACAGAUGCUUCUUUUAGAACUAACUAAAUUACACAUUUUUAUUGUCAAUAGGGAAAAAUCACAGGCCUAUUAAUUUAAACUAAAACAGCUUAUAAAGGAGACCUUAAAAAGUCCCAUUCUACAAAUAGUUUAUUUCAUGGCAUAAUAGAAUACACCGUUUGAAAAAGCCAGUCUUCUCCCCACUUUGCUUCUGAUCCCCACUGUUUGCUUGUUUUUGUAAGUUAUACUGUAUAGAAUUCUUACUCCCUUUUUCCCAUGAAAAGAGGACCAAACAGUUCUUCAGAUGUAUGGAGUAACAAUUAGCUUUGUAGCACUACAUGUUAAUGUAAUAAGAUACUUUUAUUCAUUGAUUUUUCUUUUUUUUAAUCAGAAAUACACUUCAUCUGAUCUACUUUGACCACAUACUAUCUUCUUCGUUAAUUACAAUUAUGUCCUGUUCCUAGACUGCUAGAAUUUGGCCUUAGGCCAUCCUUGAAGUGCCAAUAAACGCCUGCAGGGUUUUAAAAAAAAAAGGUCUGGAGCGAUAUACUUGAUUGUACCUAAUAUUCACUGCAUCAGCAUCACAUCCAGCCCUCUUAUUUGUACAUGGUUAAUGCAAACAAAGGAGGGAAAAGCUCAUCCCAAAAUUCUCCUUCAGUGAUGGCUUGUGAUGGUUUUGUGCCUGUGACCCUGGUAGUGUCCAAUGUGUUCACUUCCAGCUGAAGCAUCCAUGUGUUUCUGGGCAGCUUUUCUGCUCAGCGUGAUCCUGAGAUGGCUUCCCCCACCACCCAGAGUGUGGUCCCUGGCCGCCUCCUUCUCCUGCUCUGCGAUGAUACCCCUGCUU